rnacentral:rRNA from 1 species
AGAGUUUGAUCAUGGCUCAGCCUGAACGCUGGCGGCGUGGCUAAGACAUGCAAGUCGUACGGAUGUAGCAAUACAUCAGUGGCGAACGGGUGAGUAAUGAAUCGCUAAUGUGCCCCGGACUCUGGGAUAGCUGCCCGAAAGGGCAGGUAAUACCAGAUGAUAUAUCCUUAUCGCAUGAUAGGGAUCUCAAAGGUCCGCCGGUCUGGGAGCAGGCGAUUUCGUAUCAGCUAGUUGGUGAGGUAACGGCUCACCAAGGCGACGACGCGUAGCCGGACUGAGAGGUUGGCCGGCCACAUUGGGACUGAGACACUGCCCAGACUCCUACGGGGGGCUGCAGUAACGAAUCUUCCGCAAUGCACGAAAGUGUGACGGAGCGACGCCGCGUGUGGGAUGAAGUUCUUCGGAAUGUAAACCACUGUCAGGGGUUAGAAAGUUCUGAUCAACCCCAGAGGAAGGCACGGCUAACUCUGUGCCAGCAGCCGCGGUAAGACAGAGGUGCCAAGCGUUAGGCGGAAUCACUGGGCUUAAAGCGUGUGUAGGCGGAAUCGUAAGUACUUUGUGAAAUCCCACGGCUUAACCGUGGAACUGCUUGGUAUACUGCUUUUCUUGAGCCAGCUAGGGGCUACCGGAACAAAUGGUGGAGCGGUGAAAUGCGUAGAUAUCAUUUGGAACGCCAAUGGUGAAAACAGGUAGCUGGGGCUGUGCUGACGCUGAGACACGAAAGCCAGGGGAGCAAACGGGAUUAGAUACCCCCGUAGUCC